rnacentral:rRNA from 1 species
UUAUUGGAGAGUUUGAUCCUGGCUCAGGACGAACGCUGGCGGCGUGCCUAAUACAUGCAAGUCGAGCGAAC